CUUGACCAAAUUACGUGCCAGCNGUCGCGGCAACACUGCAGAAGACAAGUGUUAUUCAUCUUUAAUCGGUUUAAAGGGUACCUAGACAGAAAAUCAAGCCAUAGUAGGGACUAAUUUUCUAGAGUUUUAUGGAAAAAAGUCGAAUAUCUGGAGUAGAGAUAAAAUAUGUUAAUACCAGAUAGACGGGUAACGGCGUAGGCAACUUUUUAUGUAAAAACUGACGUUGAGGGACGAAGCCCUGGGUAACGAUAAGGAUUAGAUACCCCAGUAGUCCAGGGAGACAAUUAUGAGUGCCAUAAGCUAAAUAAUUUAGUUUAUAAAUGAAAGUGCAAGCACUCCACCUUAAGACUAAAGCGGCAACGCCCAAAUUGAAAUCAUUAGACCGUUCCUGAAACCAGUAGUGAAGUAUGUUAUUUAAUUCGAUGAUCCGCGAAUAACCUUACCACGUUUUGAAUACUAUUCAAUUAAUACACAAAGGCUGCACGGCUGCUUUUAGUUAAUGUCGUGAGAUUUUGGUUAACUCCUUUAAUUAACGAAAACCCUUGUUUUAUUUA
rnacentral:rRNA from 1 species